GGGAGUUGGAGUGAGGACUGAUAGUGGGUGCAGGUGAAUUAUGGGAGUUGUAGUGAGGGCUGAUAAUGGGUGCAGGUGAAUUAUGGGAGUUGGAGUGAGGGCUGAUAGUGAGUGCAGGUGAAUUAUGGUAGUUGAAAGAGGACUGAUAGUGGGUUCAGGUGAAUUAUCGGAGUUGGAGUGAGGGCUGAUAGUGGGUGCAGGUGAAUUAUGGGAGUUGUAGUGAGGGCUCAUAGUGGGUGCAGGUGAAUUAUGGGAGUUGUAGUGAGGGCUCAUAGUGGGUGCAGGUGAAUUACAGGAGUUGGAGGUCUGAUAGUGGGUGCAGGUGAAAUAUGGGAGUUGUAGUGAGGUCUGAUGGGGUGUGCAGGUGAAAUAUAGUUGUAGUGAGUUCUGAUAGUGGGUGGAGGUGAAUUAUGGAAGUUGGAGUGAGGGCUGAUAGUGGGUGCAGGUGAAUUAUGGGAGUUGUAGUGAGGGCUGAUAGUGGGUGCUGGUAAAUUAUGGGAGUUGGAGUGAGGGCUGAUAGUGGGUGCUGGUGAAUUAUGGGAGUUGGACUGAGGGCUGAUAGUGGGUGCAGGUGAAUUAUGGGAGUUGUAGUGAGGGCUGAUAGUGGGUGCAGGUGAAUUAUGGGAGUUGUAGUGAGGGCUGAUAGUGGGUGCAGGUGAAUUAUGGGAGUUGUAGUGAGGGCUGAUAGUGGGUGCAGGUGAAUUAUGGGAGUUGUAGUGAGGGCUGAUAGUGGGUGCAGGUGAAUUAUGGGAGUUGUAGUGAGGGCUGAUAGUGGGUGCAGGUGAAUUAUGGGAGUUGUAGUGAGGGCUGAUAGUGGGUGCUGGUAAAUUAUGGGAGUUGGAGUGAGGGCUGAUAGUGGGUGCAGGUGAAUUAUGGGAGUUGUAGUGAGGGCUGAUAGUGGGUGCAGGUGAAUUAUGGAAGUUGGACUGAGGGCUGAUAGUGGGUGCAGGUGAAUUAUGGGAGUUGUAGUGAGGGCUGAAAGUGGGUGCUGGUGAAUUAUGGGAGUUGGAGUGAGGGCUGAUAGUGGGUGCAGGUGAAUUAUGGGAGUUGGAGUGAGGGCUGAUAGUGGGUGCAGGUGAAUUAUGGGAGUUGGAGUGAGGGCUGAUAAUGGGUGCAGAUGAAUUAUGGGAGUUGGAGUGAGGGCUGAUAGUGGGUGCAGGUGAAUUAUGGGAGUUGGAGUGAGGGCUGAUAGUGGGUGCUGGUAAAUUAUGGGAGUUGGACUGAGGGCUGAUAGUGAGUGCAGGUGAAUUAUGGGAGUUGGAGUGAGGUCUGAUGGGGUGUGCAGGUGAAAUAUAGUUAUAGUGAGUUCUGAUAGUGGGUGGAGGUGAAUUAUGGGAGUUGUGGUUGUAGCGGGUGAAUUAUAGAAGUUGUAGUGAGUGUCUGAUAGUGGGUGCAGGUGAAUUAUGGGAGUUGGAGUGAGAGUCUGAUAGUGGGUGCAGUUGAAUUGUGGGAGUAGGAGUGAGGGCUGAUACCAGGUGCAGGUGAAUUAUGGGAAUUGGAGUAAGGGGUAAUAGUGGGUGCAGAUGAAUUAUGUCUGUUUAAUAUUACCACACACAGCCUUGUUCACUGUCCACACUGUGUAGUUUCUCUGGAACAGAGCAUGUAACAACAUUUAACAACAAAAAAACCCACUUUCAACAAAACUUCUAAAUAUAAUUAUCUUUAAACAUUUAAAAGUUAUUUGCCACCUUUACUUCAGGGCUUCAUAUGAAGUAAUGUUUUUUGUGGAUUCUGCUUUUUCAGCUGUGUUAACCAGCUUUAUAAGUUUUCUAAUGAGAUUAAUAAACUGAGUCAGGUACAGAUAGUCAAGAUUCAAAUGUCCUUUUAUUUAUUUAAAUGAUUAUUAAUGGAAAUAAAAAUAUAAAAUGUUUCCAUAUCAUUAGAUAGCACACUCAAAUGCACUUUCUAUCCAUAAGAU